UGCUAGGUAAAAAUCCAACUAAAAAUUAACCAACUAAUUAAAAAUCUCCUCCCCCACAAUAACUAAUGAGCUGCAAUUAUAUAAAAGGGAAAAUCUAGGGGCCCAAUAAAUGGAUGAGAGGCCCAAUUCGAAAUUCAAAACCUUUCACCAGUUAGUGGAGACCUAUUUUUCUGAGUUUCCAAACCUAUUCCGAAAGAGGAAUGGGGGAAGCGGACAGACCCGAUCGGCUCGAUUAUCCUUGAGUCGAGACGUGUUUUGGUCUCUAAGCCCCAAGGACAAAACACGUGACCUGCCGCCUGCGAUGUGCUGACUUGAAAGGGACGCGGGAGGAAGAAGACAAGAUGCCUGUUUUCCUCUGUUUCAACCUUUGUUGAAUCUUUGUUAUUGCUCUGGGAAUUAUACGCUGCUGGGUUCCUCUUGACGAUAACAUAGCUGGGUCGGAUCGGAUCAAGGAGAAUUGAAGCGGGCUAGGAAUAGGAGUGGGCUGACUGAAAUAUUUUUUUGGGAUUGAUAAUCCAAAAUUCUCUCUUCAAUGGAUGAUUUCCAGAAAGUUACUAGAGGUUUCACUUCUAAAUCUAUGGAGGAUAGACAACGGGGAAAAUCCUACAAAUAUUCAUAACGACGAAUUUGAAGAAGACCAAAUUGUUGGAGAAGAGGUAUUUUAUUUUUAUGCAUGUUCUGUGUCUUGCAUGUUCAGUUGAAUUUGUUUAGUAACUUUUAAGAUUCAAAUAAAUUACAUAUUAUAGUGCGUCUUUAUUAUUAUAGAAUAGAUUUGGAAGUGUAUAUGGAACUUUGAUUCUGUUAUAGUCAGUAUGUACUUUUGUAUUUCAUAGACUUAUUGUAUUUUGUAUUCUGUUUUUUCUUGUGUUAGUUAUGUCAAUGUAACACAUAUUAUGCGUUUGAUUGUGUUAUUUACUAUUAUAGAACAGAUUUGUAAGUGUAUAUGGAAUUUUGAUUAUGUUAUAGUUAGUAUUU